AUUGAACGCUGGCGGCAUGCUUUACACAUGCAAGUCGAACGGCAGCGCGGGCUUCGGCCUGGCGGCGAGUGGCGAACGGCUGAGUAAUGCAUCGGAACGUGCCCAGUAGUGGGGGAUAGCCCGGCGAAAGCCGGAUUAAUACCGCAUACGACCUGAGGGUGAAAGCGGGGGACCGAAAGGCCUCGCGCUAUUGGAGCGGCCGAUGUCGGAUUAGCUAGUUGGUGGGGUAAAGGCUUACCAAGGCGACGAUCCGUAGCUGGUCUGAGAGGACGACCAGCCACACUGGGACUGAGACACGGCCCAGACUCCUACGGGAGGCAGCAGUGGGGAAUUUUGGACAAAGGGGGCAACCCUGAUCCAGCCAUGCCGCGUGCGGGAAGAAGGCCUUCGGGUUGUAAACCGCUUUUGUUCGGGAAGAAAUCCUCUGGGCUAAUACCCCGGGGGGAUGACGGUACCGGAAGAAUAAGCACCGGCUAACUACGUG
rnacentral:rRNA from 1 species